rnacentral:tmRNA from 1 species
GGGGCUGAACUGGUAUCGACCCUGAUCGUUUCGGGGUGGGAGAAGCGAGCCGAGGUCCGGGAGUGCCUCGAUAAACAUCCCGGAAACUAACAACUGCCGACUCUAACGAGUUCGCACUCGCCGCUUAGUUAGCUAAGUAGCGACAUCGGCCCGGGUUUGCCUGCGGCGCGGUAACCGAUGUCAUCUAGCAGGCUUGCCGCCUUGAGCGUGCUCGAGGCUAGGGGCGGGACUCUUUACUCGAGCUGGGCCUCGGCCCCCGCCGUCUGCGGGCGGGCCGGAGCCGAGAAACUGACCGCAGACUACGCUCGUAGAAGACCCAUGCCGAGGUCGGGGGACCCGGGUUCGAUUCCCGGCAGCUCCACUC